GCGAUAUUACCAGCACUAAUGUACCAGAUUCCAUCAGAACUACGUAGUUAUGCAUGUUUGGGCGAGAGUAGUAUUAAGAUGGAUGACCGGAUCCUAUCAAAAUUC